AUGACCUCACAGCACGGAGGCACACGGCUCCGGUGUCCAGCAGGCACGGAAUUAAUACGUCUUGCCUGUCCUGGCCGGUUGGCUUGCCUCUCUCCUGUCAGAAUGCAACCUGGCUUUAUGCACCUAGAUGUCCCCAGCGCCCAGUUCUGAGCCAGGCACAUCAAAUGUCAAGGAAUUGACUGAACGAUCUAAGAGCUCCUGGAUGGGUCCGGGAACUCGCCCGGGAACAAGGUGCCAAAAGGCAGGCAGCCCGCCCCGCGGCCUGGGGAAAGAACCGACAGGCGGCCGCGGUGAGCGCCCGGGCGCCCGGCAGGUGGCGCCGCAGCCCCGGGCCCGAGCCCUCUCGUCGCGCGGUCACGCAGCCCCUCUUCCUUCCGCCGGCUGCGCACUCACAGUGAUCCCUGCGCGCCUCUCCUGUUGGGGUCCGUGCCCCGCGCUGCGCUGGGCGCCAUGGCGUUCCCCGGAGCCCGGGCCCGCGUCUGGGCGGCAGCAGCCAGAGCGGCCCAGAGGAGCCGCCGCGUGGAGAACGCAGGAGAGUCCCCGAGUCCUGAGCCUGCGGGCCGGCGCGCGGCGCUUUACAUACACGGUGGAGUCUGUGUUCUUUGGUGGGGGGACCCCCAGUCUAGCCAGUCCCCACACGUUGGCUGCUGUCCUGGAGGCGGUGGCACAGACAGCCCACCUGCCUGCAGACUCGGAAGUCACAUUGGAGGCUAAUCCUACUUCAGCUCCGGGCUCCAGACUGGCAGAGUUCGGGGCAGCAGGGGUCAACAGGUUGUCUAUAGGCCUCCAGUCCCUAGAUGACACUGAGCUCCGGCUGUUGGGACGGACGCACUCGGCCUGCGAUGCUCUGUGGACGCUGGCAGAGGCCCGGCGCCUCCUUCCCGGGCGCGUGUCUGUGGACUUGAUGCUGGGGCUGCCGGCACAGCAGGUGGGGCCGUGGCUUGGGCAGCUGCAGGAACUGCCGCACCACUGUGAUGACCACCUCUCCCUCUACCAGCUGUCCCUGGAGCGGGGCACCGCACUCUUCGCCCAGGUGCAGCGGGGUGCCCUUCCAGCCCCUGACCCGGAGCUCGCAGCUGAGAUGUACCAGAGGGGCCGGGCCGUUCUUCGGGAGGCUGGCUUCCACCAGUAUGAGGUCUCCAACUUUGCCCGGAAUGGGCCUUCGGUGUUCCUGGGAGGGUCUGGCUGUGCUGGACUCUCUCUUGCUGACCCUCCUGCCUCAGCUCCAAGAGGCCUGGCGGCAGAGAACCCCCUCCCCUGUGCCAGGAGGAUGACAAAAUGUUCCUGUGUUCCAGGGUAAUGCCAGGGUACCAUGACGCCAGAAGUAAUCUAGUAUCACUGCCAAAUGAGGCAUGCUAAGCUCAGCCUCUAGCUGAGUGACUAAGAAUGGGGCCUCCCCACCUCUCAGAUAGGGACAUUCGUGGAGGCUCUCUAACUCGACUCAAGUCCUAUAAGCAUGCCUUGGAUAAUCCUUUGAAGGAAUAUCAUUUAGUCCAACUUAAUGAAACCGAUAUCCUUCACGUACUGACGGAAACACUGGCGGCACAUAUUGAGGCCAUAUUUCCGGAUCAGACCGUGCCGGUUUGAACAGAUGCGACAAGAGCGAGAACCCUGGCCAAAUUUAUGCGGGUGGCUCCAGUACAGCUGCUGAUGACCCAUCCUGCUCUCAGCAGUGCAACGAGAGUUGAAACUGUGGGACAACCAGACAGAAGAGACAGCAUAGGAGUGUGUGCAGAAAAACAGGAUGGAUAUGACUCUCUGCAGCGGAAUCAAGCUGUGUGCAUUACUACAAAUGGGUGAUGACAACUCCGUGAGGGUGGAGAUUAUAUGUCUCUCAUCAUUUAAGCAACAAGGAAAUAAAUUAGUGGCAGAGUGAGGGGCGACUCGGAUCUCACUCUGUCACCCAGGUGGGAGUACAGUGGUGCAAUCACAGUUCACUACAGACUCGACCUCCCUGGGCUCAGGUGAUCCUCCCACCUCAGCCUCCCAAGUAGCUGGGACUACAGGCAUGUGUCACCACACCCAGCUAAUUUUUGUAUUUUUUGUGAAGACAAGAGUUUCACUAUGUUGGCCAAGCUGGCCUCAAACUCCUGACCUCAAGUGAUCCACCCACCUCGGCUUCCCAAAGUACUGGGAUUACAGGUGUGAGCUACCACCGCCGAGCUACAGUUCAUCUUGUGCCGUAAUCUAUUUCACUGUCUACAUGAGCAAAGUGGGAGAUCACUGUCAUGGCCUAAGUUACAUGGCCGAGACAAGCCAUGGCCUGGAAGUCCCAGGUUCUCCUAUGUGGGCACUUUCCUGGGAUAUGCUAAAUGAUGGGAAAUCUGGGUCUCAUGUUUCUGUGUGGUCCUCACCUCACUCGACUUCUGCUCUUUCUGUUCACUCUCAUUAAUAUGGUUAUCAGUUUUCCAUUGGUCCAUAUCCCAUUCUGCCUUGGAUGCCUUUGCUUCCUGCUGCUUGCUGAGAAGCUUCAUCAGGAGGCCUGUUCGUGACACGAGCUUGGCACAGGACAUUUGCACAUAUGUUUCUGAACAUUCCAUUUUCAGGAUCCGGAUAACAUGAGACAUGAACCUUCUGACAUCCUCGUUGGGGAUGAGGGACCGUAGCUGCUGGGUUAGCUGAAUUUCAAACUGAUCACCUGGGGAGGAGAGCAAUGGGUCAUUGAAGCUUUCGGGCUCGGGGGACAGGUCAGUGCCCACGUUGUUGUGUUCCCAUUUUGUCUCAGUGUGUGUAACAGUUGGCUCUAAGUUGAAUGCAGUCCCAGCGGAAGCUGCCUCAGGAUGAUUGUAGUUUGUGUUUUCAGAGAUGCUACCUUCUGGCAUAACAGUGUUUUCCAUAAAAACGUUUUCUUCAGAGGCAUCUCUUGCAGCUGUGUCUUCUACGUGACUGUUUUCUCUAAAACGUUCUGAAGGAGCAAAUACUUCCAGAAGAGGGUUUUCUUGAGGACUCAGGUCUCCUAAGGAUGAAAAAACCCCUUGUGAAUUUAUGAGGCUCUUCUCUGCAGAGAACGGCGGCCUCUUUGCGAGCAUCAGUCUAUUGAGAUAACUGCCCUUUCUAAACUUUCUAAUCUUUUUGGCCUUGGGUGUUCUGUGGGCCACACGGGAGCGAGUUUUAUAAAAGCGGUAUUUUUUUCUGGAAUGUGCGAUUGGUUUAGCAGCCUCCAUGUUUUUAACCCUAGCCAUUGCAAUUUCUAACAUUAAAAUGCUGUAGGCUAAGUCUUUCGAUCUGUCUCUGACCUGAGGUAGGGCUUUUGCAGGGCUAGAGGCAGAAGGCACGCCCAUGGAGAAGGGUUUCAGCAUAGAGGAGACUGCUGCCUUAUGCUCCUGGGUGAACAAAGGCUUGGUGUAGAUGGUGUUUCCCGCUACCUUCUCAGGCCCCUGCACUACGUGAGGCUGUUCCAGCUCCCUUGGGGCUGGACUCUCAAGCCUUUUUUCUUUGGCAGCAUUGUCCACAAAUGCCUGGGCAUCCUGUUCUUUCCUAGUGCUGUGCUUUCCCACCUCUUUGAAGUGUCUUUUCUGGAUGCUCCUCGGGCCUGUGAGGACUCUGUUCACUCUCUGCAGGUUUUUGCCUACACUGUGAAUCUUUGCCAGGCUGUUUUCCUGUGGUUCAACAGUUUCUAGUUUAUUUGGAAAUAUUUGAUGUUUAAAUUUGUUACCUAGAAGGUUGGACUGUGAGGGGCUCUUUCUACUGUUUUUCAAACUACUCAGGAGCCUAUCCCCACCUUGUACAUUUGAAAAAAGCAGUUUAGCGAAUGGUAACAAUAUGGAUUCUGCAUCUAGAUUUCCUUCUGAGAAAUAAGGGAAGAUGUUGCACUCACUCUCGUCAUUGAUGUCUUGCUGCUCACUCCCAAAGCCUGACAACUUGAUGCCGCUGCUGUCUGAGGGCGCCUCCGACUCAAUAGUCAGCUCAGUGCUUGUGUGCUGCUUCCGGGCUAGUAACACCUUCAUGAACGCUCCUUCUGGAUUCCCUACAGAUGCUUCUUCAGCUGUCAGAAAAGAAGAGACUGUUUUCAUCAUGAAAGAUCUUUGAUCAUCUUUCAUACUCAGUCCGUAGCUGUACGCCCCAGUCACACAGAGUAAGAGUCAGCAAACAUUCGAGUGCCAUUCAGAGAGGAGAAACAUACACCCAAACCUAAACCUAUGAAAUGGCAACAAUGAAAAGAGGAAAAGACAUCUUUUGAAAACAUGGCCACCUACUUGGAACAUUCCAUAGUGUGACAUAGAGUCAAUCUGCUUAAGAUUAUUCCGUUGAUCCCCAGGGGCCAAUUGCCCAGUGCUCGGUCAAAGCCCAAGGUGGAAGACAAGUGCUUCCCUGAUGAGCUGGCCUCUCUGCAGACUGCUCCGUACCCUGUGCUGUCCUGUCUCAUAUGCAGAGAGAGCACAAGGCUCCCGCUCUCCUCAUCCUCAGUGUGCCCGUGUUCUUGCUACCAUCACAGCUGAAUGCAAUGAAAGGCGGUCCUCUGAGAGGAGCUGGGUGGAGAUGCUAAAGUGGAUGCCCCCUCCCAUUGCUGAUAGAUCCUCGUCUGCCAUGUGCUCCACCCACCCACCGCAUUCUCUGCUCCCACAUAUCACAACCCCAUCACAAAAGAUGCGACAUGGAAAAAAACACUGUGUCCACCUUAAUUCUUUUCUUAAAUUUGGGCAGGGAUCCAGGGUGUAGGUUAAGAGAUUUUUAAUUUGCCAGACUGUAUGCCUAUGUUGUUAAAUACACAAUGAAUCUAUGGUAUGAUAGCAGUUUCUGGAUAAACAUUACUUGAGGUCCUAAAUGCAGAAGGGAAAAAGCAA